UACGUAGGGGGCAAGCGUUGUCCGGAUUUAUUGGGCGUAAAGAGCGUGUAGGCGGUUUGGUAGGUCCGUUGUGAAAAACUCGAGGCUCAACCUCGAGACGCCGAUGGAAACCAUCAGACUAGAGUCCGGAAGAGGAGAGUGGAAUUCCUGGUGUAGCGGUGAAAUGCGCAGAUAUCAGGAAGAACACCCGUGGCUAAGGCGGCUCUCUAGUACGGUACUGACGCUGAGACGCGAAAGCGUGGGGAGCGAACAGG
rnacentral:rRNA from 1 species